GAGUUUGAUCGUGGCUCAGGAUGAACGCUAGCGGCAGGCUUAACACAUGCAAGUCGAGGGGUAUAGGUUUUCGGACCUAGAGACCGGCGCACGGGUGCGUAACGCGUAUGCAAUCUGCCUUUUACAGAGGGAUAGCCCAGAGAAAUUUGGAUUAAUACCUCAUAGUAUUAUUGAAUGGCAUCAUUUAAUAAUUAAAGUUCCAACGGUAAAAGAUGAGCAUGCGUCCCAUUAGCCAGAUGGUAAGGUAACGGCUUACCAUGGCGACGAUGGGUAGGGGUCCUGAGAGGGAGAUCCCCCACACUGGUACUGAGACACGGACCAGACUCCUACGGGAGGCAGCGGUGAGGAAUAUUGGUCAAUGGGCGCAAGCCUGAACCAGCCAUGCCGCGUGCAGGAUGAAGGUCCUAUGGAUUGUAAACUGCUUUUGACAGGAAGAACAGUUCUACGUGUAGAACCUUGACGGUACUGUAAGAAUAAGGAUCGGCUAACUCCGUGCCAGCAGCCGCCGCGGUAAG
rnacentral:rRNA from 1 species